rnacentral:ncRNA from 2 species
CCCCAUCAUCAAGAGAAGGGCUGGCGCCCUCGCCAACCUGCCUUACCGGGCAAGGUGGUUUCCGCAAACAGGGAUGCGGCCGGACUGACCCUCAGGAGAGGCUGACCGGCAACUAAGCGGUUUACU